UACAGAGGGUGCAAGCGUUAAUCGGAAUUACUGGGCGUAAAGCGUGCGUAGACGGUUACGUAAGUCGGGUGUGAAAGCCCCGGGCUCAACCUGGGAAUUGCAUUCGAGACUGCAUAGCUAGGGUGCGGAAGAGGGAAGCGGAAUUUCCGGUGUAGCGGUGAAAUGCGUAGAUAUCGGAAGGAACACCAGUGGCGAAAGCGGCUUCCUGGUCCAGCACCGACGUUCAGGCACGAAAGCGUGGGGAACAAACAGG
rnacentral:rRNA from 1 species